GACGAACGCUGGCGGCGUGCCUAAUACAUGCAAGUAGAACGCUGAAGAGAGGAGCUUGCUCUUCUUGGAUGAGUUGCGGACGGGUGAGUAACGCGUAGGUAACCUGCCUGGUAGCGGGGGAUAACUAUUGGAAACGAUAGCUAAUACCGCAUAACAACAGUUGUUGCAUGACUGCUGUUUAAAAGAUGCAAUUGCAUCACUACCAGAUGGACCUGCGUUGUAUUAGCUAGUUGGUGAGGUAACGGCUCACCAAGGCGACGAUACAUAGCCGACCUGAGAGGGUGAUCGGCCAAAACGGGAAUGAGACACGGCCCCGAACCCCACCGGGGGGAGCAGUAGGGAAUCUUCGGCAAUGGGGGGAAACCUGACCGGGGAACGCCGCGUGAGUGAAGGAGGUUUUCGGAUCGUAAAGCCCUUGUGUAAGAGAAGAACGGGUGUGGUAGGUGAAAGUGCACACUGUGACGGUAUCUUACCAGAAAGGGACGGCUAACUACGUG
rnacentral:rRNA from 1 species